rnacentral:lncRNA from 1 species
UCCAUUCAAUGGUAUGAUGAUCAUCUGCCUUCGAAGGGUGAGCGCGGCGAGACAACAAAGCUUCGUUGCGCGGCUUUAUGCCAGUCCGUGGAUAUACGCUCUCAAGUCAUGUAUGUGUUAGCCCGUGAAUCGAUUCGCAUAUGUGUUCAAAACGGCGAUGUGACUGCGGGCCGCGUUACCUUGCUCCUCUCUUGUAUUCCGAUUGCCUGAGACACCUCUCAUGUUUCGGUAGGUCGUUCGCAAUUGCUACAUGGUCCUGAAGUUUAGCCCCCUCUAGACACAGAAGCAACAAUCCCGCAUUUCUCCUGCAACGUUAAAUGGCUUGCAGUGAUCUUCGCAGGGUGAAGUCAAUUCAGGAGUCAUUGUCAGUGAAUGAGCUAAACCAGCGGCGCAAGCGAACUCCAGGUCCGUUUUUACCAUGUAAAGGAAACACAAAAUGGGAACUGAUCAAGACCACCGAUGAGUAAGGAACCUUGCGUGCUUUUGGCACUCCCAUCAGAUAUAUUCUGUGGUCAGUUGCUGGUCGAGGCAAGUCAGUGUAAUGAAGGAAAUCCAACUGACUCUCCCGUGGUAGCACAACCACACAUCGUGAGGUGAGAGCGGGCUCACAUUCACGCGACGCGUGUUUGAUUCUUUGUCGAACGACUCCCCAGAUUCGCCACGUGCUAUCUCGACAAACUUGGAAACGUUCCACGGACUGGUGAAGAGCUCAAUAGCGCCAGUAGGUGAGACGGCGCUCUCACGUUCGGAUUGUCUUACAACGUAGUAUCUACACCUGCAUCCGCGGAUCCAGCGGAGAAAUACACAUUUUGCGGAAUGCGGGAAAUGGUUGUGUUGAAAUCCAUGAGAUGACCACACAACGGAGCGCUACUCUAGUCGAGUUCCCGGGAUCGAGCUUGCUUAGACGAAGAUUGGUGCAGGAUACAAGUGCCGGUCCGAAGCCGACUGAAAGCCUGUAGACUGCCGAAGGAUGCAGACGCGAUAACCUCAACCGUGGAGACCCAGAUAUUUUUCUAAGAAAAUAUCACUUUCCACCAAUUAUUCUGCAGAUCUACCACGACCACGAUUGCCUCUGUCCUGUAGGAUUCCUUUAUUUCCUCGUUAUCUGUGCUCCGUUCGAGCAUUGUACCGUUUAGGGAGCCGAGCGACUGCGACUGGCUGCACGGUGAUCAUUUGCAGACCCAGUGUGAACGGCUUGCGGCUUGGGAAAACAAACGCGUUGAGAUAAAGCUGAACUGGCUGCGCCAGAAACCCACAGUGGAGCGAAUGGUAAUAUCUAGAGGGAACGUCACACCACGGUACAGACACUAGCACGGACCCGCUAGUGCUGAAUGCAGCUGAAGAAAUUAAAGAGGCUAGCGUGAAGGAUGACCACUGACGCCGGCGUACAGAUGUGCGCCAACCGCUGUAAUUCUCAAGAACAAAGCUCGCGGGAAACUGGAAAUGUGCCGCAGAUGCCGCAUGAUCCACACGGCUUGCUUUGGCUAGUCACAGCCCCGCGAUGCGAGCGGCGUUUCGGGAAAACGGACGAAAGGUCGAGGUUGGGCCGUCGUUGCGUUAUUCAUCGAAGGAUGAAAGAGUGCCAUGUUGCAGCGUCCCUUCCGUGUACGAUUCGUCGAUGCCCAUCCUACUUUUGUGCAGCCCUCUAGAAAGCAACGGGUUGGCAGCGCAUUUCCAAAGCUGCCACCGUCGCUAGCUCCUAGGCGACGGCCGCUCUGCCUCCGCGCAAAAUCAGCCCCGGUCCUGCCAACCCACCUUUCGGUUUGGCGUGGCUCAUUUCAAUGCUUGGCUCCCUGGUAGUUCAACGGGUGACAGUCGUUUCCCUGUUCCCGUGGGCUGCAUAAUCCAGCAUUCUCGUCUCGUGCCUGCGGAUCUGGCUG